rnacentral:rRNA from 1 species
GAUGAACGCUGGCGGCGUGCCUAAUACAUGCAAGUCGAGCGAACGGACGAGAAGCUUGCUUCUCUGAUGUUAGCGGCGGACGGGAGAGUAACACGUGGAUAACCUACCUAUAAGACUGGGAUAACUUCGGGAAACCGGAGCUAAUACCGGAUGAUAUUUUGCACUGCAUGGUUCAAAAGUGAAAGACGGUCUUGCUGUCACUUAUAGAUGGAUCCGCCCUGCAUUAGUUAGUUGGUAAGGUAACGGCUUACCAAGGCAACGAUGCAUAGCCGACCAGAGCGGGUGGUCGGACACACUGGAACUGAGACACGGUCCAGACUCCGACAGGAGGCAGCAGUAGGGAAUCUUCCGCAAUGGGCGAAAGCCUGACGGAGCAACGCCGCGGGAGGGAUGAAGGUCUUCGGAUCGUAAAACUCUGUUAUUAGGGAAGAACAUAUGUGUAAGUAACUGUGCACAUCUUGACGGUACCUAAUCAGAAAGCCACGGCUAACUACGUG